rnacentral:lncRNA from 1 species
GUCGCUACGUAUGAGUUGCCGUUUUCGGCAGCCGGGAAAAAUAGCAGUACAAACAUAGACAUAUACCAAUUGGCGGCCAUAGAGAAAUAUAAAUAGAAAAAUAGGAGGAUUGAUAGGGGAAAGCAGUCGGCGCACUAGCAAUAUCUAUAACAGUACAUGAUGGGAAGGCCAUUUAAAUCGGACACAGUCAGUGGGCUCGGCAGCGGAUAGCCGACCCAUGAUCUACAAAAGGCAGAGUAGAACAGUACAACACAACACUACAUAACUCAGUAGCAGCUGAGUACAACAUACAUACACCGAUAACAAAAAGAGGUAGCCAUCUCCCUUUAGGCACUGAAAGCAACAUAUAUAUAGUGAGGACAAAACGGGCACAAACAACCUCAUCCCCGUAAGCGUACAGUUGACAUGACCUGAAUGGGAAAAGAGGCAUGAAAGCCAAAAGAUGUUAGAACAAACAAAUGGUGUAGAGAGUGUUUAGGGGCAAACAAAGUCAGGUUCAAAGGGAAGUGGUGAGUACGACCUAUAUGUCGAAAAUGCGCUUUCAAGCAUUCCUGACUGGCCUUUGAGCCGGUAGGGAGGCGUCACGUGCCAGGGUUUCUAGGCCAACCUUUUGCUUUGGUGGUGGGUUUUCUAGGAACCUGAAGGAGUUGGACUGGCAGCAACCCACUCUUGUUUGACAGUUGCAAAUGGGGACCUAGUCGCAAACACAAAAACACUUACACAAUGAAGGCAGAGCCAAAGUGGGUGAGGAGGAACAAUAUGGUAAGAGAACAAAUGGACUUACAAAGUGGCAUGUUUACUCUGAACAGACAUGGAUUGACGUUUGGCACGCUUCAAUCCCGCCAAAGGUAGAUCAUAUUCACAAUCAUCUAUAUUUGUAGGCUAGAGUGGCUUCAAGGUGUUCUUGUUUAAUCCUUGCAAGGGGUGAUGUCGUGUUGGGCCAAACAUGGACAAAACAAAUCAAGUCAUUGAGUGUAUGAUAGGCAAAGAAGCAUAGGAGAAAGGAAAAAGAAAGCGGCACUUACAAAUCUGUUGAGUUUUGUUGAGCAGUUGUCAGCCGCUAUUUUGCUUGGCUUAAGGCUAUAAGGGGCAUGGCAUAUGCGAAAUUAGGCUGAGUUGUUGCAGAAGGGCUCGACGUGGUAGAAUCUCUAGCAACAAACAUGACAAAUGAGGAUGUGCAGGAAAGCAAUGGAAAAGUAAGAAAAACCGCCAACAUGGGAUAAGAGCGGACCUCGAGGAAGUUACAUUAGAAACAUGAGUGUUCAACAGGAGUGUUCGUGAAGGGGCUGUCAACUUAGCUGGGGUGGUAUUGCUGAAAGGAUCAUGAAGCAAAGGCUGUGGUGUGUGCUCCCAGGUAGAAGGUAACAUAAAACAUAAACAUGGUGAGGAAUGGCCAAUGCAACAUGGGAAGCCAGUUAAAAGGGCAUGAAAGAAAGAAAACUACUCUAAGUUUCCAAGAGGUUACGAGGGAAUUUUGAAGCAAGCUGUGAAACAGGAAGCGUAGCUUGUUCACUGACACUAAAUAGAGAAGGGUGUUAAUGGUAGUGGUCAUAGGGAAACACAUAAGAACCAUUUGAAAACCAAUAGACCAACCUGGAUGCAACAACUUGUCAUGAAGGAGGUUCAGAGGAACCAAUAUGGGGCACUACAUAAGUAAUAACAGGAGGAACAUAUGUAGGUUCUGGAGAUAUUGGAGUGUCAUGACGUGUAGGGGGACUGUAAGGAAGCACAAAACAGCUGCAUCAAUUACAUUAUUAAGGGAGAACAUGAAAGGAAUAGAAAGGACAAUUAUCAUACCUGGGUGAUCUCUGAGGUGGCAGCGAGGAUGGUGGGAGUUGUGGCAGCAGCUGAGCAUGUGAGUCAACCAAGCCCCAGACCUUGGAAACAACACAAUUGGCAUAGGAAUUUGUAGUCACUUAUCGAGGAAGGUGCACUUCAAAAGUAACAUGUUGGCCAAUCAGGAGCUUGAUUGGAGGUGGCAAAUCAC